rnacentral:misc_RNA from 1 species
GAGCCAUGUAAGCAUCUACAUCAUGGGUUGAGAUAACAUUAACCCAGUAACCUUUUUGAAAGAAUACAAUUCCUUUAACAUCUUCAGCACCAACGUCCACAUCAACAAAGCUCCUCUCCCAGCACCAAUUAUCUUCACUGCGCAUAGCAUCAGGGGAAUUAUGUUUGACCUCAAGUCUGUAUUUUCCAGGUAAGACAUUUGGAAAGAGAAAUUCAUCACUCUCAUCUGUCAAACUAAUUGACUUCCUUUCUUCAUUAUGGUUACCAGGUAAUCUCACCAGGGAAACAGAAACAGAUGAACCACAUCUCUCCUUGCAAGUUACAGAGCCCAGCACAUUGACAAGGGCCUGAGAAAAUUCUAUAUCCAAUAAUGGAUUUUUGACCAUAACAUCAAUGUAAGGUGGUAAGAAUAGAAGUCCAGAAGCACUCUCAGGAGUAGCGGCAAAAGCAGAUAAGCGAUAUUCACCAGGUGGGACCUCAAAGCAGAAA